rnacentral:lncRNA from 1 species
UUUUUUUUUUGUCAGGCACAUUUUUGAUUGCUCUAGUUCUGAGGAUCUUUAUUUUCAGCCACAUCCAUCAUCGUGUCUACCAUUGUAAACACAUCUUUUGUCAGUGGAGCAUCGUGAAUUCCUUUGUGUCAUAGGCUCGCGUCUCUAGUUGUCUAGCCUAGGACCAGCAUUCAACCACUUUGAACGAAUUUUCAGCUUGCAUUAAUUAACGUGGUUGUAGCAUUUUUCCCCAUAUAUACAGCCAACCCAGCUCCACAUAUUUUUACAUCGUGCAUACAUAUGUUCAUCUGGCAAUCGUUUUACCCAAUCUUUGGAGUUAUUUGACACCGCCGGUUGCUGAUCACCACCUGCUGCAUGGUAAGAACUUGCAAGACUUUGAUAUUUGACUUACUGUGAGAGUUUUUACCACCACAUACUAGUAGUUAUAGAAACAUUAUUUUUGGAUUUUGUUUCUUGUUUCUACUAAUCAUGACAGGAUCCAGAGUCAAUUCAUGGGCUUUGUCGAUCGCGGGAGACAUGCUACCACCUAUGCAAAUACCACAACCGUCGCGAGAGGUGCACAAACAUCCAGAUGCACAUGAUCCGGUUAAUGUUUCUAUACCACCAUUUAAUGGCCGUUUUAGACCUGCUUUAUAUAUUGAAUGGGAGUUUGACAUAAAUAAUAUAUUUCCUUCCAAUAAUUUUGAUGAACGUAAAAAGGUUAAGGUUGCGGUUGGUUCUUUCACUGGUUAUGCUAUAGUUUGGUGGACUGAAUAUUGUUGGUUACACCCUAAUGAAAUACCUACUACUUGGGAUGUUUUAAAACUUGCCAUGCGACAUACAUUCAUUCCCGCUUAUUAUACUCGUGACAUGAUUAAAAAGUUGCAACAUUUAAAACAAGGUAGUGACACCGUAAUGACAUAUUAUGAUACUUUACAAACUACCUUGCUGCAUUCCUCUUUAGUAGAAAGUGAAGAAGAUUUUAUGGAUAGAUUUUGGGGAGGAUUAAAUCGUGACAUUCGGGAGAUACUAAUUCAUGAAGAGUGUUAUCCUAUGGACCAUUUGUUUCAUCUUGCUUGCAAAGCUGAACAGGAAAUAAAACGAUGUGUUGCCCACAAGGAGAACAAGCGCGAGAUGCACAUUCCAAGAGUUGAUACGGUUGUCCCUUCAACUAUUAGGCAUACUAUGACAACCACAUCUGUUGUUGUCAGGACUACAUCACCUUCACCAUGCGACACAUCAUCACCGAUAGUGCCUACAUCAUCUAAGUUGAUCAUAAGAGGUAAUGACAAAGGUACUAAUCUUCCACCUCGACAUGAGUAUGAUGAAUGUCUUAUCAAUUUAAAUGCACCAUGCGGUGAGCUACUCACUACUUUGAUCACACCAGCUAUUUUAGAGGACUAUGUUGCUGAUUUGACUUUGCCAUGUGAUCAAACAAUUUUGAGUGAAUCCAUUGAAUUAAUUAUCGAUGCAAAAGAAUCAAGUGAAUCAGGAAAUAAAUCAGAUUUGGAUCAAAUAAGUUUGAAAAUAAUUAUGCCAAUGUUUAAUCAUUUUGAUAUGACCUCUAAUCUUGGUGAUGGUUCAUCAAUGUUGGGAUGGUUUAAUGAUAAGCAUGGUCAAACUUUUCAUAUGAAUAAGAGCUUCACUUAUAUAUGCAAACUGAGUUGCAAUAUUUUCAUGCCUUUGAAUUCUAGUGAUAAUAUAUUGGCUUUAUAUUUCACGACUUUUGAAGGGUGCUCUUGUAUAACUAUGUCACAUGUGCCCCAACUGAUAUCAGUAAAAAUAGAUGACAUAUAUAUAUACAACAUGUACACCUUGUCUCUUUUGUUAGCCACAUUUCAGAUUAAGCAACACCGAGGACGACUUUGUUUUCAAGAAGGGGAGGAUGAUGAGGACAUGGCUACCACAUUUACACCCAUAACCCAUACUUUACCUCUUGGAGCAAUUGCUAGAGCUCAUAUACGCCAAUUAAAUUAUCAGGUACUUUCGUUUCUUGGUAAUGUUUCUAGUGUUCAUGAGAAUAUGAUGCUGCCUAAUUUAGAUACAUUUGUGUUGUUUGCAAUUGAAGGGCCUAGCACGGACAAGAAGGAUGAACAUUGGAGCAUGGUGAAGCACGGAGAUGAAGGUGUGUGCGAAGAGAACAAGAACAGAGGUUCAAGUGGAGAUUUCAGGACUUUGAAGCCGCCAUGAUGACAUACAAGAAGAUGGACGAAAUAUACAAGAUGGACUUUCAUAAAUUUCGUCCAUAGCUUAUUAUUGGUGUUGCGCCACCUUAUUUUGGGCCAGACCCAUGUAAUCUAUUUUUAGAGUCCAUAUUGUAGGGAAAACGACUUAGGAGGUGUUUUAGUCCCACCUUGCCAAGGGUGGACAAAAUCCCCUCUCUUUUCCCUAUAAAUAUAGCCCUUAAGGCAUCGUUUAGACUUGGGUUUUAUUUAGUUAAAAGUUAGCCAUCGCUGCAACUUCGUGUACUUCGUUUGUGUCCAACGACCAGACUAAGACCGCUUAUGAAACCCCACUUUUAUCAAUACUUCAUCCAUACUCGCAAUAUUCAGAUUGCUUAAUCAUAUUCUUCCUUGUUCUUCGAUUGCUUGCAGGAAUAGACCUUUGUGGUCAGGUUGAUCGUGCUCCAGCGUGAUCAAUAACCUCUCGGAGUUGGUUUAGCGAUUGCUAAGGCGCAACGUCGUGCGUGUUUGUAGUCGGAUCGUCAAAGUCGUCUCCACCAAAUCGAUAGUUAUCAUCUCAUCGAAAGAUCGGGACCCUCGCCUCUAUCACAAUGGGGCUGGUCCAUAAAUCACAGUGGAUCAACUGAAAAGGAGCAAACGUGCAACUACUAGAUGAAGAAAAAGGGAGAUGAGGUUUGGUGUCCUAGUUGAUAAGCAUUACAUGGAGUGUGCACAAGUUUAUUACAGGAAGAAAGAAAAUCAUGAGCGGCUAAUGACGAAAUGGCUUGAGGGCUUGGGUAGCCGAGCCGACGGUGCCACACAUCCGUGGUGGAGACGGUGGCGGAGAGGGAAGUGCUCCAAGACUUGUUAUUGCCGAAGAAAGGAUAGAGGUUGCCAGAGCUAGCGGAGAUCAUGCUUACCCUCCUGGUGCGAAGAUCCUUCACAAGAAAGCCAUAGGGAAAAAAUUCAAUUGAGCAAGAAUUAUCUUUGGUGAACUGACGAACGGAAAUGAGACUAAUAACAACAUGAAAUGAAAAUAAGACAUCUCUAAGGUGAAAGUUGUGAGAAGGGAGGGUGGUGGAUACGGAAGAGUGGAUGGGAAGAUGAGUGCCAUUGCCAACAACAAUGCUAGAGAAGCGACGCUUUAAAGAAGAAUUAGAGUGGUCGAGGUUACCAGGGUUGCCGGUGACGUGGGACGUGGCACUGCCGUCGAGGUACCAUUCAUUUGGCGCAGAGCCAGUGUUGGGGAAGCCGUGAGCGUUGUAGGCGGCCUGUAGCAUCGCGAGGUGAUCCCACGACGGCUGUUGUGGAGGAGGCGGCCUAGGGUAGCCCGAGAACUGCAUCUGGUAGGCCUGAGCAUGCGAGCCGGGCCACGUACCGAGCACGCCAGCAGAGUUCGGAGGAACCCAGUUGGGGCGCGGAUUGGGCAGUGCCAUCUCGUAGGGGGCGAAGAAGUCCAUGUAGGGAUUGGGCAGGGGCGCAGAGAAGUUGUUGAAGCCGCGCUGCCCCUGAUCACCACGGUCGCGUCCACGGCCAUGGCCACGCCCGCGCCCGCGUCCACGGUCACUGCCCUCCUGGAGAGUGCCGGAGCAGGGGCCUUGCUGGUGUCCAUGCCGCCGUGAUCGGGACCGCGCUCGACGGAGCAGUCACCGCGAUCACCGGUGCGGGUGCCCGACGGGCCGGCCUGGCCGGACGAGCUCCCAGGAGGAGCGGAACCGUCGGUGACGGAGAGGAUGGUGACGGGCUCGUUGGCGGUGCGCUAGGCCAGGUUCUCCUCCGCAAGCUUAAGGCGGGAGAACACCGUCUCGAACGGCGACAAGGGAACGGUGUCGCCCAAAACAAUGCGGAUGGUGUCGAGGCGUUUGUCGAUGUUGUGGAGGAACUGGGUGGUGAGAUCCACCUCAGUGACCGCGUGAUCGAUAUCCGCAAGUCCGGCGGUGAGAAGCUUCAUGCGGCGAGCGUACUCCGCGACGGAGAGAUCCCCCUGCUUGAGAUUGUGGUACUGCCGGUUGAGUGUCAUGUACCGGGCUGCCCGAUUGGCGAGGAAGUAGUCACGAAUCCGAGCCUAGAGCUCGUACGUGGAGGCGGCAUCGACGACGUGGUCAAUAAGGGGAUCGGCGAGUGUGGCGUAGAUCCAGAGAACGAGAUUGGCAUCAAGUUCGUGGGUGGCGGCGUCAAAGUUGGGCGGGAGUGGGUGCUCAAUGAAGUGGGCGACGCCGUACCAGAUCAAGACCAUGAGGAAGGACUUCCACUUAUGAUAGUUGUGGUCGUCGGGGUUGAGGAGAAAUUUGAUAUGGUUUUGGAUGUUGUCUCUGAAAAUGGGAUGUUGGGACGAAGUGGCCGAAGAAGGCGGCAGAGGUGCAGUAGAGGAGAAGAGGGGGCGAAUUGGGAGGAGGUGGGAGUCGAGGUGCUGCCGAAGACGAACGGCGAGGAUCCAGCAGCAGUGGAGGGGGUGGUGGCGGCGGAGGUGCCCGUGCCGAAGAGGGAGCCCGGCGAGGUUGCUACGCUGGUGGGGAGGUGGCGGCGCCGGUGGCCAAGGAGGAAGGAGAGUCGACGGCCAUGGGAGAACACGGAGUCUGAUACCAAGUUGAGUGAUGAAAAUGCACUCUAUCAAUUAUAGCCGAUACAACUUAUACACAGAGGAGUCGUAACUGAGUGCCCGAGAGAAGUGGCACGCAGGCCUGGGCGUGAGUCACGAUCCUAAAUACAUGGAAACAGUAUGUGUACAUAUACAACAGGAUACACAGGUAUAUUGCAUGCUAACAAUAAACUUGGUCAAAUUUUACAAAGUUUAAUUUAAAAAAAUAUUUAUAUGCACUACAUUAUGGAAAAGGAGGGAUUACUUAAAAGGAGAAUUGUUGGAGCCGAUGCGAUGAUAUUUUAAAAAGAAAACACCGUCACACCAUUCUCAUGACAGAUAGCUUUUGGGUGUCAUUUUCCGAAGUGUCCCGGUCCAUCGUUCGUCUGCAUUCUAGUACUACGGUCUAUGGAGCACAAUGGGCUGAGCUGAGCAUGCCCUGUCACCGGCCUAAGAGCAUCUCCAACAGCUCGUCUAAAUGAUCGUCUAAAGCCCAUAUACACGACGAAGGCCCGAUAACGGCCUCCCAGCAGCUCGUGCAUCGCGUCGUCUAUCCAUCCACAUCGUCCAAAUUCACCUCCACAUUGUCUACGCAUGGACAUCGUCGAGACGUCAUGGAUAGAGGAACCGCUCCAUCCCAGAGCGGUUGGCGCCACCAUCCGGAGUCGUUGGAGCUGCGCCUGCAACGUCGCGAGGUCGCCCUUGUUCCCUCGAGGUAUGGCUCCUUUCUUCCUCGACAGGUAGAGAGGGAGGGUUGGGGCACCGGAGCCAGGGCGGGUUGGAGAUGGAUCCAGCGGCCGCUGCGGCGCUCGAGGGCCACCUCGCGCCUCUCUAUUGAGGUAGCCGUGCAGGGUAUCCAGUAGUAGUUUAAUUGAAUAUGUUCAGUGCAGGUUAACUGAAUAUGUGGCAAUGCAUUGGCCUUGCAGGUUAACUGAAUACUUCCUCCGUCCUAAAAUAAGUGUCUAAAGCUUAAUACAACUUUAUAUUAAGUACUCCCUCCGUCUCAUAAUUCUUGUCUUACAUUUGUUUAGAUAUGGAUGUAUCUAAUACCAAAACGAUACUUGUUACAUCCGUAUUUGGACAAAUCUAAGACAAGAAUUUUGGGACGGAGGGAGUACAAAGUUGAGACACUUAUUUUGGGACGGAGGAAGUAUGUGGCAAUGCAUUGACGUGCAGGUUAACUGAAUAUGUUCAGUGCUACUGGACUGAAAAUUUUAAUUAGAUACUCUGCGUGUACUACUAAGUAUGUUCAGUGAUACUAAUAUUGCUACUCCCACUUAUAUAGAGAAUUUUUUUUCAUAUUGAUGGUACUUUUUUUUUUGGCGAAUUGAUAUUGAUGGUACUAGGUAGGCUAUAUGAUGUAGUUAGAAACCAAUGCAGUUAUAAAUUGUUUGAAUUACCAUUGAAAUGGUAGUUGAGUUGGUAGUUAGAAAAUAAUAUUAUAAUAUAGGAGAGAGAAUAUAGACGUUCUAUAUAUAGACAUUCUGCUGUAAAACUGAACGUGUAUAUCAAAGAAUCUUUAUAGACCAUUGUCUAUAUGAAUAUAUAGACACCCAAAUUUACACAUGCCGUUGGAGAUGCUGUGAGCUCCCAUCCUUCGGCACCCACCCACCCACCCCGGCACCGGGCCACAGCUUCCACGUGCAACCUCCUGCCCCACGCGCCAUCCUUCACCCCCUGCAGCUGCAAUCAAUCAGUCGUCACUCUCCGGACACCAGUGAGCCGUGCCCGUCUUCUCCUACCUCCAAACUCCUCGCGCUCCUCGCUGCACACACACUUAUCUUUCCAGCUCACACUUUCUCCCUCUUUGCUUCGCUCGCUGCUUCUUCUCUUGUUUCCUUUUCUCCUCUCUAUCCAACUCCCACUCUGCCACCUAUAAAUUCCAGCCACCACCAUUGAAUUGAGUCGAUUGCGCAGAAUUCUUGCAGCUGAUCGCGCCGGAAGCUCGCAUCGUACGAGAUAGUGUGUGUGCCUAGAUAAUCACGUACAUAUACAUGGCUGCAUGGCUGGCGCGCCGGGCCGCCAGGAGGCUCGCUAGCGAGCUGCGCAGCCGUGGACCAGGGCCAUGGCCCUUGAGCUCGUCGACGGUGCUGGUUCUCGGGGUGCCAUCAGGGGACCAAAGCAGGGGGUUUUGCUCCGUCCGGCGCUUCGCAGGAGAUAGCGCCGCCGCCGCUGCCGUCGAGGAGCCGGAGAAUGGACUUGCCGCAGGCGAUCUGCAGGUAUCUGUGCACUCGUAUGUUGUGGUACAUACAGUAGGACGGCUGCUUCUAGACAUGUGUGUUCUACAGAAUCGUCUAGUAGUGGUACGUAGUACCACGAAUAUUUAGGAUGCUAUGGUUUUGAAGAUUACAUUAUAUUUCCCGCAGAAAAAGAAAAGAAAAUUACAUUAUAUAUAUGCAACAGGGAAGGUAAGCAGAUAACAAACAUUCAGGAUGCUGCGCCUACAAUCAUGUGAUCUUUCUCCUUGAUUAAAGAAAAUUUAGUGUGGGUAUCAUCGUGAUUCUCACUUGGAAAGAGCAUCCUGUAUACACGUGAUUACUAUAUAUGCUUCUAAUAUUCCUAAGAAACAAGAGAACUUUAACACAUGACAAUUGUGGAUAGAAUUGACAACAAGUAGUAAAGUAAGCAGAUAAGGAAGGACGUGUCAUUGAGUCAAUGGGCUGGUGGGACUUCACUUCAGGUUUAGUAAGCUCACACGGCUUCUUUUCUCUUGCGUGUUUUAUUUAUUUAUAGUUCCUGUGAUGCCAUGGUCAAUCGUUGUCAACGAAUAAAAUAGUCCAUUGCCUUGCCUCCAAGGUCAGUUAGACUAACCCGGUUGUGCUUCCAAAUUUAUUUCGAGGAGAUUUUAUACAUUCAUUCUUCUGGGGCCACCAAUGGUUUUCCCUGUGCACAACUAACUUAAUUUUGAUUGUUACCGACGCAGUUUGUAGAUUUCCCUGGAGGAAAGCUUUCCUUUGUUGGUGAAAUGAAUUUCCUGCCAGAGUCGCAAAGGGAAAGGAUCAAUUGUUACCGUGUUCUUGACGACGAUGGUGGGACUAUAUACAGCAGUAGAUUCCAAGAGGUGUAGUACCGCCAUUGCCAUUGCCAUUGCUCCACGAGUGAAUAAUUUUGUUCUGAAGCAUGUCUCUCAUUCUUGUCAGGUCAGUAAGGAGUUGGCUCUGAAAAUGUACAGUAACAUGGUCACCCUCCAGAUUAUGGACACAAUCUUCUAUGAAGCUCAGAGGCAGGGAAGAAUUUCCUUUUAUCUAACUUCCAAUGGUGAAGAAGCAAUCAACAUAGCCUCUGCUGCUGCGCUUAGUGCUCAAGACAUUGUACUACCUCAGGUGCAUAUCAUCUGCUCCAAAAAAGAAUGUUAGUGCUGAAUAGUAUUGAUUUUACUUGCUUUUCUUUUCUUGGCCGGAAAUUUUGGAGCCAAAUGAAGUACAGGGAGCCCGGUGUUCUUCUAUGGCGUGGCUUCACACUGCAAGAAUUUGCAAACCAGUUGUUUGGGAACAAGCUGGAUUACGGUAAAGGCAGGCAGAUGCCAAUACAUUACGGAUCAAACCGUCUGAAUUAUUUCACAGUCUCAUCGCCUAUCGCGUAAGUAUGAAAUACUUCCUUCUCCUUCCUUUUCGGAAAACAAAAAAAAAAUGAAAUACUUCCUCCUUCCUUUCUGAAAAAAGAAAAGGAAAAAGAAAAAUGUUGUGCAAGUGAAGCAGAGAUUUAUCCUUGUUGGCAAUUGAUCAGCACUCAGCUCCCUCAAGCUGUUGGUGCUGCCUAUUCUCUCAAGAUGGACAAGAAGAAGGCAUGUGCCAUCACGUAUUUCGGCGAUGGUGGCACGAGCGAGGUAGAUGGACAAUCAUUGAUUGCUUACUUACAACUUGUGGUAACCAGAUCUCUCUGACAGCUGAAAAACGUCAGGGAGACUUCCAUGCCGCGCUCAACUUCGCUGCUGUCACGGAAGCGCCAGUGAUCUUCUUCUGCCGCAACAAUGGCUGGGCAAUCAGCACCCCAACCGCAGAACAGUUCAGAAGUAUGAAUUGUGCCUCUGCUCAAUCAUACAAGGGAAUAUUGGCACGGCACUGUAUAAAACCCAACUACUCUUGCAGGUGAUGGAGUUGUUACCCGCGGUCAGGCCUACGGAAUACGCAGUAUCAGGGUAGACGGCAACGAUACUCUUGCUGUGUACAGUGCAGUCCACACCGCCCGGGAAAUGGCUAUAACUGAAGGAAGGCCUAUUUUAAUCGAGGUGCAGAAUAGUAAAAUUUCAGAAUAUACCAUUUGCUGAGAGUACUUUACUGAGUAGAAAACUUCCAGGCGAUGACCUACCGAGUCGGCCAUCACUCGACAUCCGACGAUUCAACCAAGUACAGGCCGGCUGAUGAGAUGGAGCAUUGGCGAACAGCGAGGGAUCCCGUCUCCAGGUACAGAAAAUGGGUUCAGGGGAAUGGAUGGUGGUGCGACACUCAAGAGUCUGAACUCAGGAACAAUGUGCGGCAAGAGGUAAUGUAAUAUUGGUGUUGCAGAAAGGUGGAUCUGGAUCUCUGUAAUGCAUUUAUUUUUUCAUACAUGACCAACUGAAACUGUUAGCUCAUUUCUGUGCAGCUCCUGCAAGCCAUUCAGGUGGCCGAGAGGAUGCCAAAACACGGGCUUGCGGAGCUCUUCACUGAUGUUUAUGAUCAAAUGCCUUCCAACCUUCGCGAGCAAGAGCGGUCGCUGCUGGAUACCAUCAAAAAGCAUCCUGCAGAGUAUCCAGCUGAUGUGCCUGCUUAGUCCUAUUAGCCUUAGCUCUGCAAUGUUGAGUCUGCAAGUACCCAUGAAUGAUGAUUUAGCUGGUACCGUAAGAGUUAAUAUUGAUUAUAGCUUGAAUAGUAUGUAAUUUAAGAAGGGGGAAUAAACUGCCCAUCAAAAAUCUCUGAAAGAAAUAAUAGAAGAGAUUGGCUGUUACUCACACAAGGAAUAGUUGUUGCUGAUAUUUAUGUUGAACAAAGCUAUGCUAAGAUAUUUAUAACUGCAGGCAAAUGCCUCUUUUAUUUAAGACAUGGCUGUCACCACUCCUUAGAUGUACAAAUGUGAUACAACAAGGAUUGCAUUUGUCCCAACAAAAAGGUCAUUUACACACAGAAAGUGUGAAUAAGGUGUGGCAUUGCGAUCAUUGUUUUGGAUCAAUCCAACUACAACAGGGAAGGUUCAAACCAAAAAGGCUUCUACAAUGGGGAAGGGGCCUGGCUUUUCUCCUUGAUGGCCUCCUGGACAGACUUCAGCAGUGAUGGCAUCAACUGCUUAUUUGUGGCAAUGAUGCCUGUGUCAACAUCAAGAAAUC